GUGAAUCAUCAAAUUUUUGAACGCAAAUUGCGCUUCCUGGCAUCCCGGGAAGUAUGCCUGUUUGAGGGUCAGUAUUAACAAAAAUCGGUGUGUUGCUUCUUUGUGAUGCUCCGGCGUUUGGGUCAUCUUAAUUUCCUUUAGGUUUUAUGAGGUUUAAAAUUGCAUUUUUUUGCGCAUUUUAGUUGUACUUAAAUUAUUUUUUUUAUUCGUAUGUCUUACUGCUUAAAAUCCUAUUAGAUGUUACCAUAUAGUGUGGUUCC
rnacentral:misc_RNA from 1 species